UACGUAGGGUGCAGGCGUUAAUCGGAAUUACUGGGCGUAAAGCGUGCGCAGGCGGCUCCUUAAGUCAGAUGUGAAAGCCCCGGGCUUAACCUGGGAACUGCGUUUGAAACUGGGGAGCUGGAGUGUAGAAGAGGGGGGUGGAAUUCCAGGUGUAGCAGUGAAAUGCGUAGAUAUCUGGAGGAACACCGAUGGCGAAGGCAGCCCCCUGGGCUAACACUGACGCUCAUGCACGAAAGCGUGGGGAGCAACAGG
rnacentral:rRNA from 1 species